rnacentral:rRNA from 1 species
CACGGGGGGACUCCUACGGGAGGCAGCAGUGGGGAAUAUUGCACAAUGGGCGAAAGCCUGAUGCAGCAACGCCGCGUGAGCGAUGAAGGCCUUCGGGUCGUAAAGCUCUGUCCUCAAGGAAGAUAAUGACGGUACUGAGGAGGAA